UCAUCUUGGGGUGGAGUAUCCCUUUAAUGUAUUUAUAUACAUAGAGAUACCUCUGAGGCUGUUGUUGGGCUUUCGUACACAGAUAUUACCUUAAACUAAAUAAUAUUUACCAUGGAGGAAAAUAAAUCUAAGCAUAAACAAAAAGGAAAGACAGUACAACUCUGAAAUCUAAAAUGUAAUUGACAUUUAUUGUUUGAACUGGUCAAGCACUUGGGGAAGAAUCUGAUAACCCAAAUAAUGAUAUUGUAUUACUAUGUGCACUGAGUGUUUGAGUACAAAUCAAAUUUACAUCUUUGUCUUUUGCAGAUGAGGAAAUUCCUGAUGAGGGGAGAGAUUUACCAGGUGGUCCGGAAGAAUCUGAUCCACUUCAUGAUAUGUUUCAUUCCGAACCAGAUCAAGUGAAGAAAAUAAAAGUAAAACAAGGAGAUACUGUCACUCUAAAGAGUGGUGUUACUGAGAUACAGAGACAUGAUCGGCUACGGUGGAAAUAUGCUGAUUCCAGAGCUUCUGAAUCCACAACCUUGUAUAGUGUCAUCGCUGUAUGCGAUAAAAGGAGUAACAGGCUCUUGGAAAAGGAAGGUCCUGGAGGGAAAUUCAAAGACAGGCUACAGCUGGACCACCAGACUGGAAAUCUCACCAUCAAGAAAAUAAGAGUCAAAGAAAGUGGGCUAUUUAAAGUAGAGAUCAAGAGCAACACCAAUCCACUUACAAAAACAAUCAAAGUCAAUGUCCGUGUUCCUACAAAAAUGGUAUGGGGUGAUCCAAAUGACACAAUGUUGAUACCAGAAGAGGACCCCAACGACACUUCUACAUAUAGUGUAGAGCCGGGGAUAUAGAUGAGGACUCAAAGACCAUACGUUUUAAAUGGUUGAGAUGAUAUUCAUCAAGUGCAAUAUUUAUUC